rnacentral:rRNA from 1 species
AGCAAACGCUGGCGGCGUGCCUAAUACAUGCAAGUCGAACGGGGAAAGCUUUCGGGUGAGUACUAGUGGCGCACGGGUGAGUAACGCGUGGAUAAUCUGCCUUAGAGUGGGGGAUAACUAGUCGAAAGAUUAGCUAAUACCGCAUAAGACCACAAGAACUGCGGUUCAAGAGGUCAAAGGGUUUUCGCUCUAAGAUGAGUCCGCGUAAGAUUAGCUAGUUGGUGAGGUAACGGCUCACCAAGGCAACGAUCUUUAACUGGUCUGAGAGGAUGAUCAGUCACACUGGAACUGAGACACGGUCCAGACUCCUACGGGAGGCAGCAGUAGGGAAUAUUGCACAAUGGAGGAAACUCUGAUGCAGCGACGCCGCGUGAGUGAUGAAGGCCUUCAGGUCGUAAAGCUCUGUCGCAGGGGAAUAACACAAUGAAUGUACCCUGUAAGAAAGGAUCGGCUAACUUCGUGCCAGCCGCCGCAGUAAUAC